CGAGAAGCCUUCGUGCUUCUUCCUCCAUCCUUGACCGAGACCGAGCGGAGUCGCCACUGAACUGACGGCAGAUGACGAUGUUUGCCGAAGACAGCCGAUUCGACUUUGUCACGUUUUGGCCGAGCAACGCCCUCUACAGGAAACAUCCAAGGGUCCUGUUGAUGCAUUUGUUCAAAAUAAUGAAGAAAAAAAAAAGUCAACAAAAUGUAAUGAAAGCAACCUGGAGUACCGGGAGCAAAGCCACGCAAAAAAGUCCGGGUGGGUGAGCGUCACCCUCGACCAAUUAGGAUUGGAUUAAGGGGUGGGAUGAACAUCAAUUUGGCCUUUAUCAUUCUUAUUUUUUGUAUUACUGAAAUCAUCUCAACAAUAUCCACAUGGUGGAAUGUGGGAGGAAGACGGAGUGCCCCGAGAAAAGCUUCCCGAGCACCAGGGGAUCGUCAAGACCGGAACGCAAACCUCACAACUGUGUGGCAAAACCAGCGCUAAAACCAAUCACCACUGCACACCUUGCUUUCCUGCAUUCCAUUACACUGCAGGUAGAACAACUUGAAGCCUCUUCUGCCGCGGACAGCGCAGCUGAUGUAUAUCACGUGAUACACUGGAGAGAGUUCAUCAAACAGCCACGUUAUUGUCCACUCGACUCUUUCUGGAAUGGAAAAGAAAGAAGAAGGCGUUUCUCUUUACCUCCAGGGAUGAAGAGCAGGAAUCCCGGCACGAAGAAGAUGGCACUUGAAACGCCUGCCGAGACACACGGAAAACGUACUUUGUAUUCAUAUUUCAUUACGAUCACUUCCUGGGGUUCCUUCCUUUGGUGGAACUAAACUAUCUGGUGCGCAAUGUCAAUUCACACUACAUAUGAAUGUGAUUAGUUUUUACCCUCAUGUUCCCCUUGAGAACACAUGAUAGAGGUACAUCGAAAUAAAUUAGAAGCGUGUCAAAAGCUC